UCUGUUUUCCUUCCUCAGAACAGUCGUGUACCUCGAUGUGAGGAGUGGAUGGGACAGAAUCAUUCUUUUCAUUCGAAGAAAGUUUGAGUUCAACAUAAGAUGUGUCCUGAACGGUGGUCAGAGUCCAGAGCCCUUCUGCUCUCCACAUGACAGAGGGAAUCAAGAUAAUUGUCUUAUUGAUUUUCUUGUGUUCUCUGCUCACUUCGCUGAACAGGGUUUGUUUAGGGAUUGCACUUGUAGAGAAGUUUGGGAUUUGUCUUUGUGUCCGCACAAAGGCCUCUCUCGAAAAGCCCCGUUGUGCCUGCACACACUCACACAUUACAGUACAGGGAGUGUUGACCUGCAUCCUGAGUGAGUGUGUCUGUGUGUAUGAGUGUGUGUGUGUGUGUGUGUGUGUCUAUAUCUAUGAAUCAACUUUGUCUCCCUCCUUCACUCCCUCUUUGUCUCUCCAGGAGCAGAAAGGCAGGACAGCAGAUCACAUUAAGUGUAGCUGCUGUACCAUUGCCUGUAGCAUGACCUGACAGACUGUUGAGAUGGCCUGGAUGAGGCAUCUCUCUCUGUCCCUCUGUCUGUCUGUGUGUCUCUCUCUCCCUAUCUUUCUCCCUCUCUCUGUUUUAUCUCUUCUCCUCCCCCCGCCCCCUCCCCCCAGGUCCCUACUGGCCCUUGGCCACUACAGAAACAACAAGGCCACAGCAGAUGUAAUUCACGGAGAGUUAGACAUCCUCACAUCAACAGACUGGGGCCUGUUAUACAAAGCCCCCUGGUUGGUUUCUCCUCAGUGGCAGUUUAUGGGUCUUUAUGAGACAGGACCUCCAGCGAUAUCGGACCUCACCAACCACACUCCUCACCACAACACGUGGAGAGCGAGACAGGAAAUCCGGAACUGGUUUUAAAGAUGGCGGAGGACCACGGGGGUCGGGCUGGCGUUGUCGGAGCGAGUUCUGCACCGCUGCGUUUCCUGGCUGUCUCCCGGAUCUGCCGAGACGGCUGAGCUUUGAUGUUUACAAACGAGAGCAAAGAAGGGUUAUGAACAAAAGUUCCCGGUCGAGACUCCAGCGUUUCUCCAGCCAGCUCCUUGCCUUGCCCUACUCUCGCCUGAAGACCUGCAGCCCAUACCCCCGCUCCACACACUCUUUCCUGGACCUGAAAUACUCACCUUUGAACCUUCGUCUCACGAGUUCGUUUUAAGGUCCGAACAUUGUUGCACUGUAACAUACAUACCACAAUUAACUAUGUUUAUACAGGCCACUUCAUAGUCCAGUGGUGCUGAGAAAUAUGAAUGUCUUGAAACAAGUAUAUUCAGAUGGGAAUCCACUGGAUUAGGUGUAGAAUAACCACAAUGACAUCAUCAACGCGGAGUGUAAUUAUACUCAUGUCU